rnacentral:ncRNA from 1 species
ACAAUGAUACUUAUGUCCAGUCUCAGGUCGAGCGUAGAAACGGAAACAGAGCCGUGAGCCGUCGCAACCGAAGAGGGCAUCUGUGUGAGAACCACACGGGGGUGAAAGUCCCAUGA